AGAGUUUGAUCAUGGCUCAGGAUGAACGCUAGCGGCAGGCUUAAUACAUGCAAGUCGAGGGGCAGCAGGACUGUAGCAAUACAGUUGCUGGCGACCGGCAAACGGGUGCGGAACACGUAUGCAACCUACCCAAAACUGGGGAAUAGCCCGGGGAAACCCGGAUUAAUACCUCGUAACCUAUUGGAGUGGCAUCACUUUAAUAGUAUAGCUCCGGCGGUUUUGGAUGGGCGUGCGCCUGAUUAGGUAGUUGGUGAGGGUAACGGCCCACCAAGCCUGCGAUCAGUAACUGGUGUGAGAGCACGACCAGUCACACGGGCACUGAGACACGGGCCCGACUCCUACGGGAGGCAGCAGUAAGGAAUAUUGGUCAAUGGACGCAAGUCUGAACCAGCCAUGCCGCGUGAAGGAUGAAGGUCCUCUGGAUUGUAAACUUCUUUUAUAUGGGACGAAACCCGGGAAUUCUUUCCCGAUUGACGGUACCAUAAGAAUAAGCACCGGCUAACUCCGUGCCAGCCGCCGCGGUAAUAC
rnacentral:rRNA from 1 species